rnacentral:rRNA from 1 species
AUUGAACGCUGGCGGCAGGCCUAACACAUGCAAGUCGAACGAGUGGCGGACGGGUGAGUAAUGUCUGGGAAACUGCCUGAUGGAGGGGGAUAACUACUGGAAACGGUAGCUAAUACCGCAUACCAUCAGAUGUGCCCAGAUGGGAUUAGCUAGUUGGUGGGGUAACGGCUCACCAAGGCGACGAUCCCUAGCUGGUCUGAGAGGAUGACCAGCCACGGUGGGACUGAGACACGGUCCAGACUCCGACGGGAAGCAGCAGUGGGGAUUAUUGAAGAAUGGCCGCAAGCCUGAUGCAGCCAGGCCGCGUGGAUGAAGAAGGCCGUCGGGUUGUAAAGUACUUUCAGCGAGGAGGCGUUACCCGAAGAAGAAACACCGGCUAACGCCGUGCCAGCAGCGGCGGUAA